AGCGAACGCUGGCGGCAGGCUUAACACAUGCAAGUCGAGCGGGCACUUCGGUGUCAGCGGCAGACGGGUGAGUAACACGUGGGAACGUACCCUUUGGUUCGGAAUAACGCUGGGAAACUAGCGCUAAUACCGGAUACGCCCUUUGGGGAAAGGCUUUCUGGCGAAGGAUCGGCCCGCGUCUGAUUAGCUAGUUGGUGGGGUAAUGGCCUACCAAGGCGACGAUCAGUAGCUGGUCUGAGAGGAUGAUCAGCCACACUGGGACUGAGACACGGCCCAGACUCCUACGGGAGGCAGCAGUGGGGAAUAUUGGACAAUGGGCGCAAGCCUGAUCCAGCCAUGCCGCGUGAGUGAUGAAGGCCUUAGGGUUGUAAAGCUCUUUUGUCCGGGACGAUAAUGACGGUACCGGAAGAAUAAGCCCCGGCUAACUUCGUG
rnacentral:rRNA from 1 species